GAUGAACGCUGGCGGCGUGCCUAAUACAUGCAAGUCGAGCGAACAGACGAGGAGCUUGCUCCUCUGACGUUAGCGGCGGACGGGUGAGUAACACGUGGAUAACCUACCUAUAGGACUGGGAUAACUUCGGGAAGCCGGAGCUAAUACCGGAUAAUAUAUUGAACCGCAUGGUUCAAUAGUGAAAGACGGUUUUGCUGUCACUUAUAGAUGGAUCCGCGCCGCAUUAGCUAGUUGGUAAGGUAACGGCUUACCAAGGCAACGAUGCGUAGCCGACCUGAGAGGGUGAUCGGCCACACUGGAACUGAGACACGGUCCAGACUCCUACGGGAGGCAGCAGUAGGGAAUCUUCCGCAAUGGGCGAAAGCUUGACGGAGCAACGCCGCGUGAGUGAUGAAGGUCUUCGGAUCGUAAAACUCUGUUAUUAGGGAAGAACAAAUGUGUAAGUAACUAUGCACGUCUUGACGGUACCUAAUCAGAAAGCCACGGCUAACUACGUG
rnacentral:rRNA from 1 species